rnacentral:rRNA from 1 species
GAUGAACGCUAGCUACAGGCUUAACACAUGCAAGUCGAGGGGCAUCAGGAAGAAAGCUUGCUUUCUUUGCUGGCGACCGGCGCACGGGUGAGUAACGCGUGGGUAACCUGCCCUGUACAUAUGGAUAACAUGCUGAAAAGCAUACUAAUACAUAAUAACGUACAUUGAAGGCAUCUUCGAUGUAUCAAAGCGUUAGCGGUACAGGAUGGACCCGCGUCUGAUUAGCUAGUUGGUGGGGUAAAAGCCUACCAAGGCGACGAUCAGUAGCCGACCUGAGAGGGUGAUCGGCCACAUUGGAACUGAGACACGGUCCAA